rnacentral:rRNA from 1 species
GACGGAGGAUGCAAGUGUUAUCCGGAAUCACUGGGGCGUAAAGCGUCUGUAGGUGGUUUAAUAAGUCAACUGUUAAAUCUUGAGGCUCAACUUCAAAAUCGCAGUCGAAACUAUUAGACUAGAGUAUAGUAGGGGUAAAAGGGAAUUUCCAGUGGAGCGGUGAAAUGCGUAGAGAUUGGAAAGAACACCAAUGGCGAAAGCACUUUACUGGGCUAUCACUGACACUGAGAGACGAAAGCUAGGGUAGCAAAUGGG